GACGAACGCGGCGGCGUGCUUAACACAUGCAAGUCGAACGAAGAGCGAUGGAAGCUUGCUUCUAUCAAUCUUAGUGGCGAACGGGUGAGUAACGCGUAAUCAACCUGCCCUUCAGAGGGGGACAACAGUUGGAAACGACUGCUAAUACCGCAUACGAUCUAAACUCGGCAUCGAGGAUAGAUGAAAGGUGGCCUCUACAUGUAAGCUAUCACUGAAGGAGGGGAUUGCGUCUGAUUAGCUAGUUGGAGGGGUAACGGCCCACCAAGGCGAUGAUCAGUAGCCGGUCUGAGAGGAUGAACGGCCACAUUGGGACUGAGACACGGCCCAGACUCCUACGGGAGGCAGCAGUGGGGAAUCUUCCGCAAUGGACGAAAGUCUGACGGAGCAACGCCGCGUGAGUGAUGACGGCCUUCGGGUUGUAAAGCUCUGUUAAUCGGGACGAAAGGCCUUCUUGCGAACAGUUAGAAGGAUUGAC
rnacentral:rRNA from 1 species